GACCGAUAGCGAAGUAGUACCGUGAGGGAAAGGUGAAAAGAACCCCCAGUGGGUAGUGAAAUAGAACGUGAAACCGUGCUGAGCUCCCAAGCAGUGGGAGGGGAAAGUGAUCUCUGACCGCGUGCCUGUUGAAGAAUGAGCCGGCGACUCAUAGGCAGUUGCUUGGUUAAGGGAACGGAACCCACCGGAGCCGUAGCGAAAGCGAGUCUUAAUAGGGCGAUUGUCACUGCUUAUGGACCCGAACCUGGGUGAUCUAUCCAUGACCAGGAUGAAGCUUGGAUGAAACUAAGCAGAGGUCCGAACCGA
rnacentral:ncRNA from 1 species